UGUCGCCAGGCUACAGUGCAGUGGCGCGAUCUCAGCUCACUGCAACCUCCGACUCCCUGCUUUUAAGCGAUUCUCCUGCCUCAGCCUCCUGAGUAGCUGGGAUUACAGACACGCACCACCACGCUCAGUGUUAAGGAGGAACCCAAAUGGAAUCAAGGAGUGGAGCAUAAAAAUCGGUUUCUUAUGCCUCUGCACUUCACCUUUCUCCUGUUCAUCCCACUCUGCCAUCAUUGCCUGCUUGCCUCCGAAUUGCCCACGACAGUGCAGUCUGGGCACGGACCACACCUCCCAUGCAGCGGUGGCUUUGUGAUCUGUCCACCUGGGUAAGCUGAACCGCACUUCCCAGAAUUCCCUUCCCGUGUGUUUCCGGUUAGAGUGGAGCACAGAGGAGAAACUUGUGGAAGGUUUGGAGGUGGGAAGUGAAGCAGCAGUCAUUUUACAGCUCACACGAAUUGUGGCUUCUCUGCUGGCUCACCUCAGCAGAGGCAGGAACUGACACGGGGCCAGGUGCCACCGGUGGCUCAUGCCUGUAAUCCCAGCACUUUGAGAGGCCAAGGCAGGUGGAUUGCUUGAGACCGGGAGUUCAAGACCAGCCUGGGCAACAUGGCAAAACCCUUCUCUACAAAAAAUACAAACAUUAGCCAGGUGUGGUGGCUCAUGCCUGUAGUCCCAGCUACUUGGGAGGCUGAGGUGGGAGGAUUUGCUUGAGACCAGGAAGGUCAAGGCUGCAGGGAGCUGAGAUUGGGCCAUGACACUCCAUCCUGGGCAACAGAGUGAGACCCUGUCUCAAAAAAACAAAAAAGAACUGACACAGACGGAUGUGUCUGCCUUCAAGGGCUCCUGCUUGGGCUUGUCCUCCCUUACUUUACAUCCGUCUGUCCUUCCCGAUUGUCUGCAGAGCCUGCUUAAGCAG
rnacentral:lncRNA from 1 species